rnacentral:misc_RNA from 1 species
UUUCCGUAGGUGAACCUGCGGAAGGAUCAUUAAUGUGUUUGAGCCUCACGGCUCUUCAUUCCGACGCUGUGCGCCUUCGGGCUGCACGCUGAGGGGGCAUAUAUCCACCCCUGUGCACACACACGGUGGCGAGCUGGGUAACGGCUCGCCGCUGAUCUUUACACACGUCUAAAAGUCAUUGUAUGUUUAUUUGAGAUAAAAACACAACUUUCAGCAACGGAUCUCUUGGCUCUC